GAUGAACGCUGGCGGCGUGCUUAACACAUGCAAGUCGAACGGGAAACCUUUUAUUGAAGCUUCGGCAGAUUUAGCUGGUUUCUAGUGGCGGACGGGUGAGUAACGCGUGGGUAACCUGCCUUAUACAGGGGGAUAACAGUCAGAAAUGGCUGCUAAUGCCGCAUAAGCGCACAGAGCUGCAUGGCUCAGUGUGAAAAACUCCGGUGGUAUAAGAUGGACCCGCGUUGGAUUAGCUGGUUGGUGGGGUAACGGCCCACCAAGGCGACGAUCCAUAGCCGGCCCGAGAGGGUGAACGGCCACAUUGGGACUGAGACACGGCCCAGACUCCUACGGGAGGCAGCAGUGGGGAAUAUUGCACAAUGGGGGAAACCCUGAUGCAGCGACGCCGCGUGAAGGAAGAAGUAUCUCGGUAUGUAAACUUCUAUCAGCAGGGAAGAUAAUGACGGUACCUGACUAAGAAGCCCCGGCUAACUACGUG
rnacentral:rRNA from 1 species